CAAUCACAGUCUGCUUGCGG
rnacentral:misc_RNA from 1 species